CGCCCGGCGGCCCGCCGUCGUCAACCGUGGGCGCCCCCCAGGCCCCCGAGUCUCCAGCCCCCGCCACCCCGGCGCCGGCCCCUCUCACCCUUUCAUUCUCUGCCCGGGGCCUGGCGCGGGCCGGCGAAUCCCCGGCCUCACAUCAGAGUGAGAGGCGCUGGCAAUGGACUAGGAAGCUCGGCCGCCGCUGCUACUGCUCCCCCCUGGGCUCUGGCGAGAGCCUUUCCCUGUCAAGCAAGAGGGGUGAGGAUCAUAUUUUUAUUUUGGAAACUAAAAAGUGCUCCCAGGGUCGGUGAUUAUUAAGGGGAAAUCCCUGAAUAUACUCUCCAGCCAAGAAGGCAGGGCUGCCGGAGCUGCACAAGAAGAGGCAGCAGCCUCCUACAGCACCACUACAGGCACUGCGAGGACAUAACACCAGAGAGCCGCUCCUCUGCCCUCCGAAACGACAACUUUCCUACCAUCUUGGAGGCAGAGGAAAGGGGGGCCGGGGGGAAAAGUGCACCCGCUCCCGAUAAAGUACAAAUUUCGACUUCUCAUCUCUGGAAAAAAGUCCACACCGGCCGUCUACACCGGCGCCUGGGGGAAAAAGCGGGGAAGAAACUGGGGGUGCUUGAGAAACGUUUGCAUUUGCACCAGGGGGAAAAAUGUUUCUGCAUCUUCUGAUGGCAAGAAAUCUUUACAAGACACAGGUUUUCCGGUGAUUAUUGUUUUCUGUUUUCUGUUUAAUUUUUUUCCAUGUUCGUGAGAGUGGUGUUUGAAUUUUUUUUCAGGCUAAUAAUGAUUUUUUUUUCCGUUACAGAUCUAAGUUCUGGGUCUGGUGGUCAGUUUAUAAAUUUGGACUUCAAGAGACUUCCUAGCCACUUUACUUGUCUACUUAUUUAUACGUUUUUGUAUUGAUAUACAGAGAGAUUUAUAUGUUUCCUUAUAGAUAAAAAUUUGUGUUAUAUAGUCCUCUCCAAACGGAGAUUGCUGGAAGACAGUUGUAAAGGGAUGUCUUUUGUCUCCUUUUCUCAAAGCAAUGUAAAUAAAACCUAUUGAUUGUCCAGAAGGGCAAGAUACAGUUGUUUAUUUUUCACAGUGCAAAUUAAGGCAGAGAUCACUGGAGGCAUAAAUACAACUUAAGUAUAACUGACCACCUUUAUAGAAAUAAUCCUAAUGCUGUUAUGGUCUGCCCAUGAAGAAAUGUUACUGUACCACUGAAAACAGAUUUUAAAGACAGCUUUAGAUUUUCUCUGAGUACAAGUGCUUAUUUAGAAUUAUGUACAGGCAUUUAAUUUUUAUUUUAAUUUAGAUCCUUUAAGGUUUAGAUCUUUGGUGCGUCACACAUGUUGCUGUCCACUUUCUGUGUCACAGAAUUGAGAUAUGUGUCUACUGUUGUUAGAGUUGAAAUGUUCAGAAUUUCUAAUGUGCUGCCAAACUGUGUGAAGUGCUUUUAAUAUAUUACAGUG